AUUGAACGCUGGCGGCAGGCCUAACACAUGCAAGUCGAACGCGUGGCGGACGGGUGAGUAAUAUCUGUGAAACUCCCCCAUGGAGGGGGAUAACUCCUGGAAACGGUAGCUAAUACCGCAUACCAUCUGAUGUGCCCAGAUGGGAUUAGCGUGUAGGUGAGGUAACGGCUCACCUAGGCGACGAGCCCUAGCUGGUCUGAGAGGAUGACCAGCCACACUGGAACUGAGACACGGUCCAGACUCCUACGGGAGGCAGCAGUGGGGAAUAUUGCACAAUGGGCGCAAGCCUGAUGCAGCCAUGCCGCGUGUAUGAAGAAGGCCUUCGGGUUGUAAAGUACUUUCAGCGGGGAGGCGUUACCCGCAGAAGAAGCACCGGCUAACUCCGUGCCAGCAGCCGCGGUAAUAC
rnacentral:rRNA from 1 species